CGCAGCGUUCCCAGCCAGGCGAGAGCAGGUGGCCGCGGCGGGCUCCGUCUCUGCCCCGCAGAUAUGAAGCGGCCACUGAGCCCACCCCCACCGGCUGAGAAGGAGACCCCCAUAUCUGGAGCUGCUGAGUGCCUCCCUCGGCCCCCAGAACCACCUAAGCCCAAGAGAGAAAGAAAGCGGCCAUCGUACACGCUCUGUGAUGUCUGCAACAUCCAGCUGAACUCGGCGGCCC
rnacentral:lncRNA from 1 species